CCUACGGGUGGCAGCAGUGGGGAAUAUUGGACAAUGGGGGGAACCCUGAUCCAGCCAUGCCGCGUGUGUGAAGAAGGCCCUCGGGUUGUAAAGCACUUUCAGUGAGGAAGAACGCCUGGUGGUUAAUACCCAUCAGGAAAGACAUCACUCACAGAAGAAGCACCGGCUAACUCCGUGCCAGCAGCCGCGGUAAUACGGAGGGUGCGAGCGUUAAUCGGAAUUACUGGGCGUAAAGCGCGCGUAGGUGGCUUGAUAAGCCGGUUGUGAAAGCCACGGGCUCAACCUGGGAACGGCAUCCGGAACUGUCAAGCUAGAGUGCAGGAGAGGAAGGUAGAAUUCCCGGUGUAGCGGUGAAAUGCGUAGAGAUCGGGAGGAAUACCAGUGGCGAAGGCGGCCUUCUGGACUGACACUGACACUGAGGUGCGAAAGCGUGGGUAGCAAACAGGAUUAGAUACCCCUGUAGUC
rnacentral:rRNA from 1 species